AUCUCUCUCUUGAUUGGUCCUAGCUCCAUUCUCCAUACAAAGGCACACACUCAGCCAAUCAUAGGCAAACAGAGCAAAUAGAAGUCUGUGAACACAGGGAUUUUGCAAGUCAGGCUCCUGGCUGGAGUCCAGCUCUCAGCUGGGUCCAGGCUCUAGCCAGGGUCUGACUACAUGAUGCUCAGUAGAGAAGAGGGGCUGUUCCUGGGAGCUGCAGGAGGGAGAACAAAUAGAAGUGCAGGGGUCUCUCCAUGCUGUUUAUGAUGAUCUCAAAUUCAGGCAAUGAGGACUUUCUGCUCUCCCAAGUUCCGAGAAGCUUUUCCUGAAUACAGUUACCAUAUCUAGCUGGUGAAUGCCACAUCAAUAACAGAAGUAUCAGUAAAAAGCUUCAGAAGCAACAUGGCUACUUCUGCGGGUACUGAGAAAUAUGUCUAAUGGUGCUAAUAUAAGUCCCUGAAGAGAGGGGUUUUGCCAGUCAGUCUCCUGGCUGGAGUCCAGCUCUAAGCUGGUUCCAGGCUCUAGCCAGGACCUGACUACAACCUACUUAGCAGUGAAGGAGGACCCAUAUUAAGAUAUGCCAGGAAACAGAGCCAAUGGAAAACCAGCAUAGACAGGAACUGUUCAAGACAGAAUAGUUUAAAAGAGGAUGGACAAUUUUAUGGGCCGUAUUGAAGAAGUUUGAGAGGGCAGAGAAACGGAAAUAUUACGGUAAAGAUCAUAGCAUUCAAUAAAUAAAGAACUUGUGCACCGGGUUAUGAAGAAGGAGGAAGGGGCCAAUUCCCGCCAAACCAUCCUGGAGUCCAGUUGCAGGUGACCACAUGUUUGGCUCUGGAACAGGAGAUUCAUGGCAAGGAAAAUACUUAUGGUCAAGAUUGUUUUUCACCUGAAAAAAGACGGCCACUUAAGAAAACACAAAGUACAGUAAUGGAAGUACUUUAUCACUUAAGAACAUAGAGCAAGGAGAGUUAUCCAUGUUACUUGUGUUGGAUAAUAAGAGAGAUGAAAACGAAACCAAGAAGAGGAAGCAAGAAGAAAGAAUGUAGAAAAAAGAAGACAAGUCUGGAAGAAGAAAGGAAGGAACGUGUGACAUGUUAAGAGGUACAGCUGGAAAGGAUUGGGCAAGAGGAGUGGAAGGGAAGGAAUGACAGUUGAGGGCCAGUCAGGCUCCUGGCAGGAGUCCUGCUCUCAGCUGGUUCCAGGCUCUAGCCAGGGGCUUGACUGCAAGCUGCUCAUCGAGAAGGAUGGAUGCUCCUGAGACCUGCAGUAGACAGAGCCACAAGACACACAGCAUUUGCAGGGAUGUUGUGGGAAUCCCCACAAUCAUACUCACCUGUUCCUGUUAUCUCUGCUUGGAAUUAUUUAAUCCUGCUUUGGCGUUAAGACUGAUUAUUUCUGAGGCAAGAUUAGAGUCCGACUUCAGUUGCAGCAAGGGUGAUUCACUUCAGCCUUCAGAAACUGACAGAAACCUGAGACUUCUGUCGUUCCCGUGAAGAACUGUGAAGAACUUCUAUAUCACGAAUCUGGUCAGGAGGGAGAUUUGUUCCUUGUGGAUAUCUAGAAGUAUUAUACUGAUGACAUUAGAAAUGACUCUGGAAUAAUAAUCUGAAGGAUUACACAUUUGAGAAAAAUGAAGAGAAUAUUAACUACAAAGGAUUUUUUAAUGGUGUAUUUUAUGAAGGCAAGACAAGACUGUGUAUUUCUAAGGUGAGUGGUUAUUGAAGGGUAACAUACAGAAAAGACAACAAUCUAAAUAGUUUUUCCUCCAUUAGAUAAUGUAGUUAGCCCAUAUACACUAUUGAAAUUUAGAUUUUACAAUAUAGAUUAAGAGUCAUCAGUAAUGGCUCCAUUAGGUUUUGUAUUUUCCAGUUAGGGUGUUUUGGAUCCACAGGUUUUAUAUAAAGGAACACAACAGUGAACUGAACUAAGUAAAAUAUAGCUUGUAAUAGGAUAAAAGAAGCAUUUUGCAGAGUAGCACCCAUAAACAACAGGGGUCUGCAUUAUAUUUUGGUGCAUCCAUUCAUUCUUGAAUAUUCAGGAAAGACAAUAGAGGUAAAACACUAGGGCUCAUAAGUCAGAUUCCUCUGUUCUGUGCACCUGCGGAUAUUCUCCUACUAGGUACUUGCUUUCUAUGAUAAAUAUGUAUGAGUAUGGUCUAGUUUCACUGAACUCCAGUUCCUCAUUUUAUUACUACACUUUAGAUAUCAUCUCCUCAUCAUAGUAUAUACAGAUAGGACUUCUCAGAAGUGAGAAAUUUCUCUUGUCCUGGCUGUAAAGAGAAUUCUUGCAAAUGCUUAUGUUAUGUUACGAAUCUUGACUAAUAUGGAGACUUUGUCCACAUUUUCUCUAAUCAGAUGCCCACAAACCCAUCCCAUUCAUCAUGGCUUUAGCUAAUUUCUUGUUGUAGAGCCUCUGACCUUUUGUGGCUACUUCUAUAUAUUCAUGAAUUGUUGCUAUGCAGAAUCCUUGCAUGUGUGGUUGUGUAAUAAAAUAUAAUAUAGGUGAUUGAUACUAAUAGGCAGUUGGUAUUUGUAAAUUGUCAAAGUGAUCAAAUGGCAGUAGCAUGAAUGCAGUUCUAUCAUUUGAAUACUUGUUGGAUGAGUUUGAAAGGACUGUCAUCUUCCUGUAACUGGUUUUUGUUGGUAGGCCCCACACUCAAUACCAUUUUAGAGGUAUCAAGUCCACAAAGUCAGCUGGUGUCUCUGGGAAAGACGUCAAACCUACAUAUCUAAGGACUAGACUGGAAUGUAAUGAGUACCAAAUACAAAUCUGUGAGGCAUUACCAACCCUAUUGUGGCUGAUGGUGGGAUCAUAACAGUAAUUGUUUCUCUGGGAUAUCUUUGAAUUACCGUGUUGCACAGGGUUAUCUUCUACAUCAUAUAAUUAUACCUUGGAAACAUUAGCUGUGCCAAUUUGUAAAAGACAUUCAGGUGGACUGUUUCUAUCUCCAGAGUAAAGAGCAGACAUAAAGAAAACAUGAUCUAAGUAUUCACCCCUUUACUACUACCCAUUACUGCAACAUUACACUUGCUCUCCAAAAUGAAUAAAUGUAUAUGAGGUAGGUUAUCAGUGUAAGCAGGAUCCAUUUAUGCAUCUAUGGAAAAUAUAUCAUCUAUGCUGAGUAGAACUUCUAGGUAGAGGAUUUGAGUGGGAGUACCAUUCACACUCCACAUAAGGACAUGCAUUCUGUGCUUUGUAGGUAAAACCAAAACUUCAAUGAUUCCCCAAUUUUUGUUUAGUUUGAAAUUGAUUUGUCAAGAGGAACAUAGUAGGACCUGUAGACAUUGUUUACAUCUCUUCCUAUGGGAAGGGAUUAUGGUAGUAUAUGGGGUAGUUAAGGUUUACAACAAAACAUUAUAGAUUUAAGAAGAACAGUGAUGCUCUUGACAUGAUGAUGUGAGACACAUAGCUAAAACAAAAUUGCAUGGUAUAGUGAGACACAUAGGUGAAGCAAAAUUGCAUCGUGUAGUGGAGUUUUCAGAAGACAAUUUUACAUAGAAUUUGCUUCCAACUGGACUUAAGAGGUCAGUAGAAAGUUUAGAAAAUGUUUAAGUGCAAUGAGACAUGCCAUUAGGGUGAUCCCACAUGGGCCAUUAGAGAAUGAGAUACUUGGAUGAUCAUUAGAGAAGCUACCCAUAUGAAGCAGCAGCUAAAGUGCAAUAUAGAUGAGAUAAGUGCUACUGAGAACAUUAGGUAUGAGGAAAGCAGUCUAUGCUGAUGUGCAGUUGACUGGGGCUGAUAGCUCUGUGCUCACCAGAAUGGCUCUUACUGUGCUGCUCACCGUAGUCUCAAACUCAUCUCUGAAACCAUGCUGCCUCUUCACAUCAUGAGAAGCUAAUAUACAGAUGCAAACCACAACACUCAGCUGAUGGGUAUUGUAAAAUACCUCCUUUCUAACAUGCAAUUUUGAGAUUUGAGUGCUGGUGUAAAAAAAUAGAAAAUGUGUAUUUUUUAAAAGUCAGGCUUUGCUGAAAUUAUGUUUAUAUAUAAAUAUGAUUUUAGUGCUUAAUAUUUUCCAUACACAAGAAUUAUUGCCUUUGCAAAACUUAGAAAUGGUUGUAUUUCCUUUAAGCUUUGAAUAUUUAAAAAAUGAAAGUUCUAAGUAUUUACUUUCCAAAAUAAAUGGCCUCACGAAGCCUUCUAGAACAAUGUCCAAUAGAGGUGUCAACAAUUGUCAUCAUUAAAUACUUUUAAAAUUGCAAAUAUACUGAGGCAUUUAAGACCAGCUAAUGCAUUAUUUCCCCUUAAGAUAGUGUUCUUGCAAUUAAUAUUUGAGUGGUUUCCUUCUAAUCAUGAAGGUAGCUAGGGAUUCUCAAAGAUUUUUUAUUUUGUAGUUUAAGAUGAUCACGAGGAUUUUAUCAUUCCUUGUUUUAAUGCAGCUUGUUAAUUGAAAUCUUUGCAUAUCUUAAACCUGUAUAUUUAGAUAAAAUUUCUUCAACAUCAUAAAAAUUCUGACUAUAUAUUAAGUGUUUGGACUCCAUUAAUUAAUUAAUAUAGUUUACAUAUAAUAUUUACAAAUAAUAUAUUUUGAUCACAUUCUUUCUCAUUAUAAAACUUGACUCAGAUACUCCCUACCUCUUUACCAACAUAAUUUCAUGUAUCCUUGUUCAUAUGCAAGGUCUCUUUUUCUUAUGUCUGUCUUUCUCUCCCUCUUAAACAAUAACUAAAAAUGAAGAAAUGAAAUGAAAUAAAAGAAAGUAAGGAAAUAAGGAAGGAAGAAAAACUAAAGACUGAGCCAUCUCAACAUCAAAAAACAAGGCAGUAAUAAUAAAAAAAGAAGAAGCAAAUUUCCCAAAAGAAAAAUGAAACAAGAAGAGAUCAAUUUUGCUGUCUCUGUAAAUGAGGGCUGUUCAGAAGUGUGAUUAAUAUAACAAUAUAACUGCUGAUAUUUAAUUGUUUAAAACAAAACAAACAAAACAAAAUCCUAAUUUGUUUCCUUCUCCACAGAUAUCAGUUGCAAAUACCUUCUUGGGCAAGGGUCCUUCUUUAUGUCUACUUUCCCUUCCCAUGCUGGUAUUUUUGUCUGAUUUGAGCUUGUUCAGACCAUGUUUGGGCUGCCAGUCUCAGUGCCUACCUAUGUCUGACAGUAAACUUGUUUUUGGUAUUGUGCCUUUAGCAUGUAAUGUGUGCUUCUGAUUCUGAAUGCCACCAUGCUGCUCACCGCGUUCAAACUCAUCACAGAAGCCAUGAUUCCACCCAGCAUCAUGCGAAGCUCACAACAGACACAGACCGCCACUUGCUGCUGAUGGUAUUGUAAAACUACAUGGUCUCUGACUUUCAUUUUUGAAUUUUGAUUGUAUGUGUAUAAAAUCAAUAGAAAUUUAGAUUUUUCUCAUGUAGUAUCGGUUUGCUGAGUUAGGAUUAGACUUGGUCAUAUUCAUAAUUCCUUGUUUUCUAUACAUAAGAUUAUGUUUUUAAAAAACAUUACAAAAUCGUUUUCUUUGCAUUAAGCAUCACAUACUUAAGAAAGAAAAGACCUAGUAUUAAUAUUAUUUUAUAAUUUUACCAUGGGUGUCAUCAUUUCUUUUCUCCAACUUCUCUCAGAUUCACCCUAAGUGCAAACAAACUUCAGAUACUCUAGAUUAAGUAUGAGCACUAAAGCUGACUGUUUCCCACAUUCACUAUCCCUUUCUCCACUACUAGAAAUAGAAUAAAACAAAAUACAUGAAAAUCAAAAUAAUCUUAUACAUAUGUGCAUAUAUAUGAUUCUCUAUUUUUGAUGAUUUGAUGCAUGACUAAUUUAAUUGACAAUAUUUCCAUGUUUCAUUCUUUUAUCUCUACAUUUACUCCUGCCUGCUUAUUUCAUUAUCAGUGCCAUUUCAUCUUCCCAGUGAUUAAUAUAAUUUACCUAAGCAUAUGUAUACAUAACUACUUCUUGCUGUGUAUAUGAGGAUUUGAUCAUAAGGAAAUAUCUUUAAAGAUUUAUGUUUGGUAUAGAAAAACCUACCAGGGAGAAUAGCAAAAGACAAGGUUGAUUUCAUCUCUAUCCUCAUGCUUAAUUGCCUGUAUUUUUAAAACUACAAAUGCGGCUUAUAUCUAUGAUAUUUUCCCUUCACAAUUGACAUGCCAUCUUGUGGUAAUGUGGGAAUAAUCUUCUUUGGUUAUGCAUGUUGUUAGAUUAUUUUGUGCAACUCCCUUAUCCUAUAUAGAAGACACAUGUUUACAGAAGACAUCUCUUCCUCUGAAUCAUUUAUAUUUUCUAAUGUCAUUUUGCAAUGCUUUCAGUGUUAGCUUAAUGAUUAAUAUUUUAGAUUCAUAAAUUUGGGUUGGACACACCACUAUUAGUUGUUCUUUGCAUUUUGAAUAGUGGUGCAAUCCUAUAAUUUUCUCUGUCUGGUGCAGAAUGAAGCUACUUUCCUGAUGGUGACAGCUAUAAGUUUCUAUAGUUUAAAGAAAUAUAUAUACAUAUAUAUGUGUGUAUGUGUAUGUGUAUGUAUAUGUAUGUAUGUAUAUAUAUAUACUGAGUCAGGAAACUGGCUGAGCUAAGUUCUCCUCUAGAUUCCAUUAUUUCUGCAGCCACAGGUUUUGGCUUAGGUUUUAUUAUUGAACAUGAUUCUCUCCUUGAUGAUUUAAUAAGUAUCAAUAAAUCACCAGAGACAUCAUAAUUUCUUCAUUUGUGGUUUUAUAAUGCCCAGGCAUCAUGGUAUGAGGAAGGAGAGACCUGGGUGGAAAUGGGGGGGGCAGGGAGGGGAAGAGAGGAACAUGAUUAGUUAUUAGGGGGGGACAUGAAUGAAAGCAGACAACUUUGGCAGGUAGGAGGUGGGGGACGCUUUUUAAUGUACCAGAGACCUAGGAAGUGAUAGACUCUCGGGUCUCAAAGGGAGGGUUAGAUAAAAUAACAUACAGGAGACAGAAAGAAAUGUAGAGUCCCCUCUAGUAAAAGAUAGAACAUCAAGUGGAGGGAGAGAGUUGCUAUUCCAUAGUCUAAAACUCUGACCCAGAAUUAUUCCUGUAUAAAGAAAUGCAGGGAUAAAAAUGGAGAAUGACUGAGGGAAAGAAGGUCCUGUGACAGACCCAAAUUUGGAUCCAGCUCAAGGGGAGGCCCAAGGCCUGACACUAUUACUGAUACUUUGGUUUUCUUACAAACAGGAGCCUAGCAUGUCUGCCUUCAGAAAGCCCCAAAAAAGCCGCUGAAAGAGUCAGAUGAAUAUAUUUCCACCCAAGCAAUGGACAGAAGAUAGUGACCCCAGUGGUUGACUGUGCCAAAGCUGGAAGAAGCUGAUGAGAAGGGCAACCUUAUAGGAAGACAAGCAGUUUCAACUUACUUUGAUCCCUGUGGUCUCUCAGACAUUGUGCCACCAAUUAGGAAGCAUACCAGGUUGGAGUCUUGCUGUCCUAUUCACUGAGUUCUCCAACUCAUCCUUGAAACCACGCCUCCUCUGAGCUUCAUGAGAAACUCACAGUACAGAGGCAGAGCACCACAUUCAGCUGAGAUCCAAGAGUCUUGAGGAGAGAAGUUUAAUGAAGAUCCAUUUAACAUCUACAGAUGCACAGUCUCUCACUAUCUCUACACAGGGCACUUGAGAAUGCCUUAGAUAAUUCUUGUGAAAGAGGAGACAGCCUUGUUGAGAACUGAGCACUGAAUUGAAUUAUGGGUAGAACAGUAUGUUGGUAGGAAUCAUUUUAUUUCAGUUUCCCUAUAGGAAAAUAGCAGUAGUAGGUUUUUUUUUUUCUUUUCUAUAACCCAAUUCUAUCUAAACUCAGAUUCAUGGGCACUUGGAUGUAUAAGGAAACUAACAUGACUAUCCUCCAGAAGCCCCCAAAAGCAGCUGAAAGUGUCAGAUGAUGAUAUUUCCAGCCAAGCAAUGGACAGAAGAUAGUGACCCCAGUGGUUGAAUUUUCAAAAGCUGGAAAAAGCUUAUGAAGAAGGCAACCCUAUAGGAAGACCAGCAGUCUCAACUAUCCUGGACACAUGAGAUCUCUCAGACACUGUGCCACCAACCAGGCUGUAUAUACCAGCUGAUAUGAGGUUCCCAAGACAUAUACAGCAAGAAUUCCUGGUCUGCACUAGAAAACAUGUUCCUCCAGCUGAAGUCACUGCUCCUGCUUUAAGAUACAUUGUCCCUGUCACAGUUUUGGAUCAUUCAUCAUUUUCAAAGAAAAGGAUAUACUUCAGGAACCAGUAUCUGACAAAACGAGGGUUGUGCUAUUUUCCUGUUGCCAUAACCAUCUCAGAGUUUCAAUUUUUCAAAUCCUGUUCCUAGAGUCAGAGUCUUGCUGUCCUGUUCACUGAGUUCUCCAACUCAUCCCUGAAACCACGCCUCCUCUCAGCUUCAUGAGAAACUCACAGUACAGAGGCAGAGCACCACAUUCAGCUGAUGGGUAUAGUCUCAGAGUUGAUGUCCAUGACCUUAGUCAAGAUGGGAAUAUGGAACCUGAAGAGACCAACUCCAGCAUCCAUACAGAACCUCCAGUGGAAGGAUGGGAACACCAACCUACCUAUAAAACUUUCAACACUAAAAUGGUCCAUCCUAAAACAAAUGUACAGACAUAUAUGGAACAGAGACUGAUGGAAUGGACAAGUGGCAAUGUAUCUCCCAUCCCCACCCUCAUCCCACAUACAUGUAGCUGAGGUCUUUCUUAUCUGGUCUCACUGGGAGAGGAUUUACAUAAUCUUGCAUAGAUUUAAUCUAUGGGGGUAGUUGUACCUGGGGUGGGGAGGACCCUCUCAGUUUUGAAGGGAAUGGGAUGGGUUAUAAACCCUGAUAUGGGGCACCAGGAGCUAGUCAGUAUUUGGGAUAUAAUAAAAUAAAUUAAUUUUAAAAAGUUGGAUUUUAUUUUAGCUUGGAGCUUAUAACUAUAGACAUAAUAGGAGGAUGGUGUCUGGAUAGGUACUUUACAGAAGUUGGAGGAGCCAGAGAUCUUAACUUGUCAAUGUUUUCUCUACUACUAUUACUUUAAAGUUUGUCUGUCAUUUUAAUGGUGUCUUUAUUAUUUUGGCUAAUGACUAUAAUGGCUUUAAACACUAAGUAGCUAAAAUGAGAGUAACAUUAAUCCCGCAACAUGGCUGCUCUGGCAAGGGAUCAUAUCCAGAGACUUUUUAGGACUAUAUGAUCCAGCUGGACUGCAGAAAACCUUUAAUAUACACCUUUAAUCCCUAACAAUGAAGGAAUGAAAAUAAAGAACAAAUAAAUGAACUUGGAAAGCUGUCUGCUGAUACUGAAAUUCAGACCUCAACCUUCUCCAAGAUUUGCAUCUGCCUCCCUGGAUACAAAGAUGAGGCAAAGUUCAGAGAAGAGACUGAAGGAAGGACCAUCCAGAGACUGCCCCACCUGGGGAUCCAUCCCAUAAACAACCACCAACCCAGACACUAUUGCAGAGGCCAACAAGAUUUUGCUAAGAGGAUCCUGAUAUAACUGUCUCCUGAGAGGUUCUCCCAGUGCCUGACAAAUACAGAAGUGGAUGCUCACAGCCAUCCAUUGGAUGGAAUAAAUUGUCUGCAACGAAGGAGCUAGAGAAGGAAGGAGGGGAAGAGAUGAGUCAACAGCUCUAAUGGAGAUCUCCAGAUUUCAGCAGGCUUUGAUGUCCAUGACUAGAUAUGAGAUAUCUCUUCUAAUUGGUUUUGACUCCAUUCUCUAUCUGAAUGCUCAAACUCCAUCAAUCAUUAGCAAGGAGAGAAAAUAAAAUUUGCCUGCAGGAAGGAAUUUUGUCAAUCAGGGACCUGGCUAUUUUCCAGGACUUAGCUGGACCUGGGUAUAACCAAAGCCUGACUGUAUGGUACAAAAGAGAAGGAAGUAUGCAUCUAGAUUUGACAGCAGACAGGAUCAUUGGAAACUAUCAAAGGCAGUGAUAGUUUCAGAGCCUCCAUUCUACAAUUCCUGUACUCCUGAUUCCUGUACAGGGAACUGUCACCCUAUGUGAAAUUCAGGUAUCACUUUUGGGGUGUGUUUUUCUUGUCUCAGUCAUGCAGAACUCUGUCUUCUGCAAAGAAGAUUUUGAUUUCAAACUUCUGGAAGUAACAAAGACUAGGUGUGUUCAGACAUUUUAUAUCCUUAUGGUACCCACUGUGAGGAAAACUAUGGCAGUGAAUGUAUGCAAGGUUCAAAUUUAGACUCUCUAAAAAUUCAAUUUGUAAAUAACAGACAGAGAUCCUACCAUAGCCAGAAAAUAAGCACUCUUUUGAUCCUGGUGCUGGCAGGCUGUUGCUGUUAAUGAUCACAGAUGUUCAACAAUCCAACCUUUGUUUACACUGUUAAUGGACUUUGGGAAUUACAAGAUACUCUAAGAUGUUUAUUUUUCCAUGUCAGAGAUUUCUUUCUAACAGUUCAGUGGUGUUUGAUUUGUUUGGGGAAAUUAAUAUAUUGUGGCCUGAUGGCAUCCAGCUUUGUAUUAAAUUCUGUUAAAAAAAAAAAAAAAGAAAUGUACACAGUGAUUUUCAUUGUGUCUUUGUACUACAAAACUAUUUUUAGCAAUCAGGUUUCCAUGGUAUUUCUCAGACAUUUAAGAAUCUAUGUAACUGUUUGUGAAUAGGUAUUGCUGUGAAUAGUAAAAACCUUGCAGCAGUAUAUGUUUCAGAAAAUCUCUGUGUGUCAUUCCAAAUACACAUAAAAUGUUCCAUACACAUGAUGUACUCUUGGGAAUAUCUACAGCAUAUAAUUUUUUUCAAAAUUGAAUUCUUAAUAAUAUUAUGGUGUUUUUUAAAGACAGUCCUGAGUUGUUGUUGUUUUUUUAAACAAAUUAAUUACACGAUGUACAGGGCCUGGACAGAAUAUUUUACAUUAGAAUCCAAGCAUGUAAUUGAGGAUACACUACUAAACAUGAAUGUUUUAGUGAGUGCUAUAAGAAGAGCAUACAACAGAUUCACUGGGAGAGGUAGAAACAGGCACAUCAUUAUCAGUCAGCUGGGAGGAAUAAUUGCAAGAUAAGAUUUAUUGUCAGAAAGGUUCACACAAAAACAGAGGCUCUUAGGCAAAUGGCUUACAUCUAGGCAGAAGGAGCCAUAAAUAGGAUCAUACAUCACACAUGUCACUGAUUUGCUUCUCUGUGGGUCAAUGUGGACACAAAAGAAGGCAAAAACAGCUUACCUGCCAUACACUUUUGACAUUUUGCUUCAUUCAGGGAAGCCAGGAAAUGAGCAGGGAUGAAUCAGCAGCUCUAAUGGAGAUCUAAAAGGUUACAUCAGAAUUUUAUGUCCAUGCCUAGAUAUGAGAUUGGUCAGUCCUUUGCAACCUUACAGCUCUGGAGAGUCAUGAGCCAUUUAAGGAAAUCAAUAAAUGAUUACCUGAUCACCUCUACCUAGGUAUUACACAAGGUAAAGGAAGAAAUAGAAACAUGAAUUUUCUUUGUGAGCUUGUACU
rnacentral:lncRNA from 1 species